rnacentral:rRNA from 1 species
UACGGGGGGGGCAAGCGUUGUUCGGAAUUACUGGGCGUAAAGGGCUCGUAGGUGGCCAACUAAGUCAGACGUGAAAUCCCUCGGCUUAACCGGGGAACUGCGUCUGAUACUGGAUGGCUUGAGUUUGGGAGAGGGACGCGGAAUUCCAGGUGUAGCGGUGAAAUGCGUAGAUAUCGGAAGGAACAUCAGUGGCGAAGGCGACUUCCUGGACCAAUACUGACGCUCAGGUGCGAAAGCGUGGGGAGCAAACAGG